AUGAAGGCCCUCUGGGUUGUAAACUUCUUUUAUCUGGGAAGAAAUCCAUUUUUCUAAAGUGGUUGACGGUACCAGUUGAAUAAGCACCGGCUAACUCCGUGC
rnacentral:rRNA from 1 species